rnacentral:miRNA from 1 species
UUAUCAGACUUGUAGCAAAGUUGUUAUAACAAGUCUGACACAGUCUUGAUAUAACAAGAAUGUUACAAGGUUGAUGACACAAGGUUGUAACAACAUUGUUAUAUCAUGACUGUAUCGGACUUGUUGGAACAAUUUUGCAACAAGUCUGAUAA